rnacentral:misc_RNA from 1 species
UCCUUGAUUUCCUUGACUGCAUCAGUGUGUGUCAUAUGUGGCUGCCAAAUUAUAUUCUUAAAUGUAAUUAAAAGAAUAUGAUUACAGUUGUUAAAUGCGUCAGAACAGGUGUUCCUUUCAUUGUUGGGGCUUACAAACGCUUACAAAUUUAAGUUGUUAAAGCAAUCAAUUUGGCUUUAUUGUCGCAGCUUGUUGAGUCAGCUUAUCAGGUUUAUUUUGUAUCAUGUCUUUCUAUGUUGUUCAAUUUUGUUUUGUAAUCACCCUUUUUGUCAUUGUUGCCACUUGUCAAGUCCUAGGUCAAUUUUUUAGUAUCUAUAAAUUGAUCAGUUAUGUUAUUUUUGUUUUGUGAACACCUGCGUUAUUAAUGUUGCUACUUGUCAAGCCCAGCUCAUUCUGGUUUAUUUUGUAGCUUCUCUGUAAAUUGAUCAAUAUUGUUUUGCAAUCACCCACUGUAAGUGUUAAUCCAGUAUGAUUUUGUCUUGAUGUUCCUUUAAAUUAUUUUUAAGCAAGAGUGAUAAAUUUCUUGAUGUAUUUAUCUACCAUCGUUCCAAUAGGGGAAUUUGGAUUAUGUAUGAUACAUUUUGAAAUGUGAGUUCUUGAUGAUAAAUAUUUACGUAUUUGUUCUUUGUCUCAUUUGAUAUGAUUAUGGAAAAUCGUGGCUGGGUGAUGUUGUACACUUGUACUGUGAUUGAUUGAUGAGUAACUUUUCUUUCUAGUCAGGGAAACGGUGCAGCGGUUGGGCAUUGAUCCCUUGAACUUAUAAAAUGGUUUCCAUAGUUUUCAUUUAGUGAAGAGUUUGUCGUCUUGUGGAUGCCAUGUAACAAAGAAAUUCUCUUUGCUCUACCUUGACAAGUUGCAAAUGUUGUUGAACUGUGUUGAAAUCAGUGGAAAUAUUUUAGGCAAAACUAUGUACAACUUGUUAGGAUGUCUUCUGAGAGCUCUCCACUGUUUGGGGAUGUAGGAGGUAGGUGGUGUGUGCCUGUGGGGAGUAGAGGGCAUUCUAUGUGGUUGGACCCUGCUUACCAGCUUUUCCAAUGAAAUAUUACCAGUUUAGCUGUAUGGAACACUUUUUUGUUUAAAAAUUAAAAUGGUAUACCAAGUUUUCCUAAAAUAGCUGCAUAUCUGUUGCUCCAACUAACUGAUAUUGUGUGGGAUCCUGUUAUCAUUAUAUGGUGAUGAUGAGCAGGAGAUUAUUCCAUCUCAAUCUCAUUUUGUGAGAACUAACAAGCUUUGGCUUAGUGGUUGUUAGAGCUGUUUUUAGGGCUAUGAAGUUUGGAGCCCAUUCAACCCCCAAAAAGAAUACUGCAUUUAUUAGAAAUAGGUUGUGGAAGUAGAGAAAAUAGAUGCAUCCUCUAGGGUGGUUUUGAGUGAGGAGAUGAAGUAUCUUUUCAUAACUUAAAAGAGUAAGACUUAUGGUGCAUGAAGUUGAUGUUUAUAAACCCUUCUAUCCAAAAGUAUUAAAAUAGAUGAUGACAAUGAUGAUUUACCCAGAGUAUCUAACCAAUUAACUUAAUGAUUUACCCAGCAUCUAAUCAAUUAACUUCAGGAUGGAAUUCGCUCUCAUUUUAUCCUCAUCUUUCUCUUAUUUUGACCUUUGCUUCAGUUCUGUGUUCCUAAAUUGAGAUAGUUGGGGAUUUGAAUUCUGCCAGCAUUUUUUUUUAAAGAAAAAACUUUUUAUGUCAUCAAAUUUCCGGGACUUGAAUAUUGAUGAGCUAUCAUGGCGUACUAACAUUGCAGUUGCUUCCUGAUAUUUAAUACAUUAUAAUAGAAUCACUGCUGAUGUGAUUUUCUUGAUUGGCAUUUACAUUAUUUUUCCUGCUUUUGUCAUUAAUAAUUUGCGUUUAUUUUUAUUUUUUACUUAUGUUCUAUGUAUAUUUUUAUUUAUUUAUUAUUUGAGAGACUUGAUGGCUUUGCCACUAGGGAUAGUUGGAUAUUUGUAGUGUGAGAAGGGGGAAGUGUUAUUUUCGGGAUUUUUUUUUUUAGAGAGAGGGGGGGUGGGGGGUGGGGGUAGGUGGUCGUAGGAGGCUUUAUUCAGGCUAACAUUUUUGGAAAACAGGUGACUGAGCAUUGACUGUCUACUUUGUACAGUGGUUAGUGGAUACUCUUGCUGGCAUUGUAUACGAUGUAAUUUUUUAUGCUGAAAUUGGUAUCAUUAUUUAAAACGAAAUUGAUUGUUAUGUUCGACAUUUUUGACUUUUGGCAAGUUCAAAUGAAAUCGAAUUGAUAUUUGUGGUUCAGUUCCAUGUAAGAGUUGCAUUAUGUUUUGAUGGGUCAUGGAUUUGAUUAACCAUUAAGGGAUGAGAAAAAAGGGGAAGGUGAGGGGCGAAUUAUACGUGUGGCAUAUAUUAAAAUUGCCCAUCUUUCACUCGUUGAAAUGGAAAUUCUCUGUUACUAGCAUUGUUUUCUGUAAGAAAGACGAUAGUCAAUGGUAGGUUGGGCCUCUGGAUCUAACAUCAUUGUUGCGUGAAAUACUAUCAGCGCGUGAACAUAGGCCGAAAGAAUUGAGUAAAUAUUGUGACCGAGGUUGUCGUGCAAGUAUGAUACGUGGCAAAUUAUCAUAUUUACAUUACAGCGGGCGGAGCUUUUAUCCUAAUUUGUAUGUGGUUUAAGAUCAUCAAGUGUUACUGAAGUAGAUUCAUCCACUAAUGAUGUUAUUUCAUUUUGUAUUUGGAGUUCAAAUAAUAAUAAGAUUAUUGUUGAUUCUUGGGAUGGAUGGUCAGGCGGCGAUCCACAUCAUAAUUAGUAUUUAGUGAUGAAAGUACAGGCAACAGUUUAAAUUCCUACACUACCACGAAAGAUGAUGGCACCCCGAACAGAAUUUAGUAAGUUGCAUUUGCCGUCUUCUUCGUGUUCUUAAAGAUCCUAAAGGAGGAAAUAUGAUUAUGUGGACUUGUUUGGUGUCUAUAGUGGAGAGUAUUCAGUCAUUUCGGUUUUGAAUUGAUUCUAUUAAGAAAAACUGAAUGACAAAAUUUCUGACCAAAUGAAACUGAGAUUCUAGCAAUAACUUAAUGAAACCAAUACCGUGGUUUUUGACUCAAAAUUCAUGCAAAACAGUACGGCUACUAGGUAUAUGCACAGCGAAUCACUAACGCAAGUCGUACAAUUCACAUCGGCACUACGUUACCUUUAAAAUUAAAAGAAAAAUAAAAAUUCAUGAUUCAUGAAUCUAAAGAAUAAAAAGAAAUGAAAAAUAGAAAAUCAAAACUUUUCAACUAGAAAAAGAAAUUGAAAUCAAAAGAAGGGGUGACAAAAUUCUCAGGAUAAUCCAUCAUCUGAAAUUACCAACAAUUACAAAAGAGAAAAAAUAAAAAAUUAAUCAACAAUAAAAGAAAUUGAAAUUAAAAUCAGAGAUUACAAAAUUCUCAGAAUAACUCAUAAUCUGAAAUUAAACAACAAUUACAAAAAAGAGAAGUGACAGUAGAUUGGGCAAACAAGGGAGCUCGGUUCUGUGCAUGUCUUUUUUUAGCAAAGAUGAGGAAAGCUUGGUUUUUU